rnacentral:tRNA from 1 species
UCAAGUCCACUCAGGCCUACC